UUAUUUUAAAAAUUCAUUCUUUCUUUUUAGCUUUACAGCUUUAUAAAGGAGAUAAAGAAUGAGAUAAAGUGUGCAGCAAUUGGACUAGAUGGUUCUUUUUUGCAUGUGAAGAAAAGAAGUGAGAGGAGGCCGGCAGUUUUUGAGAAACAAGAAAAGACCCGGGCGAAAUUUAUCUCCGAGUUAAAAAUGUUUUCAUGACAAAAGGUCCUUCAGAGAGCCGGGGGUCCGCACUGAGAGGCCCUGAUGUGUGCUCCGGAGCAUCUUUGGAGGCAGGAGGAAAAUCGAURGCUGAGCUGAGUGAUGAGGAAGUGCUGUCCUGCGGCGGCGGCGCUGCCAGCUGCACGCCAAGCGGCGGUCUCCAAAUGAACAUCCUAAAUAAUGUGCUGGAAAACAAUUUGGCCUCUGAGAGAUGAGUCAUAAUUCAGCCCUCAGAGACCCCCAUCACCCCCCCUGCCUGCAGAUAACAAGCUCUGAUUUGGUCUGGGACAAAUUAGUUUCACUUCCAGUUGCACAAAUGGUUCUCCCUGCAGUCAGAGGGAAAGUUUCCUGUCUGUCGGACUGGACUCGUCACAAACUUCACCUGCAGACGAGCCUGUGAUGUGGACCCUGCCCGCCUGGUUCUUUCCGGACCCUCCUCCUCUUCCACGUAUUAUUUCAGUUUCAAGCAAAGCGCUGAGAGGCUGACAGCCUGCUGACGUCACCGAGGUUCUCCGGCAGCUGAGGAGGAGGAGGAGGAGGAGGAAGAGGAGGAGGAAGAAGAGGAGAGGGAAUGAGAGCUCUGGAUGUGGAGGUCGGACUGCGGGGCUCGGAGGACCGCGGUCUUGUUUUCUCCGGGACACUUUGGACCCUUUUGAGUCUCUAGGAUGCAGCACUGAUGAGCAACGUUUAGAUGACUGAAGCACCGAUCCUGAGCAGCAGCAGUCCACAGUAACAGUUAGGUAUC